UGAGUCGGUCAGGCGGUCGCGUCGGUGGGCAACCACCGCCGAGGAACGUCCGGGCUCCGAAGGGCACGGUGGUGGCCAACAGCCACCCGGGGUGACCCGCGGGACAGUGCCACAGAGAACAGACCGCCGUGCGACCUCGGUCGCGCGGCAAGGGUGAAACGGUGGUGUAAGAGACCACCAGCGGCCUGGGUGACCAGGUCGGCUAGGUAAACCCCACCCGGAGCAAGUCCAGACAGUGUGCGUUCGAGGGCGGCCCGCCCGAGCACACGGGUAGGACGCUGGAGGCAGCCGGCAACGGCUGUCGUAGAUGGAUGACCGUCGCCGCGUCACUGGUAACGGUGGCGCGGAACAGAACCCGGCGUAUCGACCGACUCAUCCA
rnacentral:RNase_P_RNA from 1 species